CGUCGCCGCUCGCCGUCCGCGACGCCCGCACGAUUUAGUAUUCUUCGGUCAUCUCUUCCUGUUCUUUCUUUCCUCUUUCGACGUGGGAUCUCCUUCCUCCUUUUCAGCUUGGAUUUUUCUAUGAUGGUUCGUGGAUUGGGUGUUGUGCUUCCACCACGGGCGGAGGCAUCAGCCACGCGUACGGACCCGGGCAACGGGCGGCCGCCACACCGGAGAACCACACAUGCAGGCCGAGGAUGACGCGUCGGCGGCCGAGGCGAGGCUCCGCGGCGGCCGAGGCCGGCAUGGUGCCGGCGACCAGCAACCGGGCGGCCGCCACACCGGAGAACCGCGGGCGGAGGCCAAGGACGAGCGCGCCGGCGGCCGAGGCGAGGGCUCCGCAGCGGCGCGGCAUGGCACCGUGUCGUGUCGGCGACCAGCAGCCGGGCGGCCACCACACCGGAGAACUGCGCGUGGAGGACAGGGACGGCGCGCCGGCGGCCGAGGCGAGGGCUCCGCGGCGGAGGAGGCCGGCAUGGCGCCGUGUCGUGUCGGCGACCAGCAGCCGGGCGGCCGCCGCACCGGAGAACCGCGCGUGGAGGCCGAGGACGGCGUGAUCUGUUAAGUGGCUACUCGAUGGCCAGCGGUGCCACCGCCUCCUCUUGAUCUGAGAUCAUGGCCUAGAAGCCGCCAGACGACGACGAUGUGGUGGGCAACAUGAACCGCCGGGGACCGUGAUGGCUUGCUGCCGCACGAGGUUGGGAGGGAGAUGGGUUCACGGCACCGCUGUUGGUAUGGAGGUUCCUCUGCCUCCGACGAAGGGACGGCAAGUUAAAAAAAGAUGACGGGGAGAUCGGCCACACAGUUUCGAGUGGAGAGGCGGUGCCCUUUUCCCCUCAGGCAGAAGCGGAUGCGGCGAGGACUGAGAUGCCCCUUUCAAUGGCGGGUCCAGCAGCGGCCAGUGCCAAGGGCGGUAGCAAGCGUAGGACUCCACCGAAUACCUCGCGGGGAUCUAGAUCUUUGUCGAUGUUUUCUCGACUCCACGACUAAUGGCACGGGCGUCAUCUAGCCGCCGGCGCGUCCUCGACUCUACCAGCUUCGGGCGGCAGAAGGAGGGGAGGCACGCCACGGCCGAGCAGCUGCAGCUGCCGACCAUGGCUAGGACGGAGAGCAGGUGUCCACGGCUGAGCCUUCUGCUCCUUCCCCCAUUCGUUUCUACCGUCAGUUUCUAUUUCCUAAGUUUGGACAUGGAUUUAGUGAGGAAAAGAAUCACGGAAAUACAGGUGGAUUGAAGAAGUCAGGCGACCAUGAAAGGAAAGAUUGUUUGGACGCACACUCCUAUUUGGUGAAAUGCAGGUACUUGGAUUCUCUUUAUUUUCUUCUUUCCCGUAACCUUUUGUGCAAUCUAUUCAUCUUGGUAACUGUAUGAAGUUUGGAGAGAGGGAGCUAUCACGUAUUAGCUUGGAUAGUGGGCUUAUGCUAGGUAUUAUGUGAUAAGGCUGUCGAUUAACUUUUUGUGCAGCGACCAUGCUACUGUCAUGACUAUGGUCUCUACAUUGUACUUGCACAUUAUGGUUUUCUCUUUGUUUUUCCAGUUGGGUGGUAUUUUCUAUGUAAUUAUAUAUUGGUUCCAACAUGGUAAUUAUCACCGCGUGAUUAUUUUCUCUAUAAUAGAUCUUGCUCAACCUGGUAAUUGUUCCUGUAUGCUUAAGACAUUCAGAAAAGAAUAAACUAUAGGCUGCAGUCCUAAAAGAAACUAGACCCUUCAAGCCAUUUGUUCUUACAGGUGGAGCCAAAUACUUUGUUCAGUAAAAAACAUCUUCUAUCUAUGUUUCGAUUUUAAGCAUGCUCAAAAAUAAUAUGUUCUUGGCUUCGCAAAGGAAACUGCUUGCAUGGCUGUUAUCAUAUUACUGAGAGUGCAACCACAUGAUUUAUCGAGAGUGCGGAAUACACAGACCUUGCUGAAAGCUACCCUUCCGCCACCCGAACAACUACUAGACUGUGAGCGUUGAAGUUGGCAGGGCAGAGCGCUGAAUACCGUCGAAGUGGAGGAAGCACGUAGUAGGAGCUGGUAUCUUGGUUUGGCCUUUCUCAUUCUGUUUUAGUAUGCAUGAGUGCAGCUUAUAAAUAUGUAGAAAUAGAAAUAGUGAAAUUCUACAUAAAUGCCUCUGACGAAGGCCCCUCUUGAGUUUCAGAUUAUUUCUAUGAUGCUUAAAACUGUCAAUAUAAUGUGCAAAAGCAUCUUCAAAAAGAGAAGUUAAUGAAGAAACCAAUGAACUACAGUCAUGUUUCAAUUUCCAUUGGGUAUUGGGUGGGGGAGGAAGCAAGAUGGGAUAAUAAUAUUUUUGCAUGACAUACAUGUGGCAAGAAAUUUUAUAACAUGCAGUAAAAUAAUCAAAAUUAGGAAGAUGCACUUGAUAUCAUGCCCAUAGUCAAAUGUAAAAACUAAGAAUAAAAGAAAUGAGUAAAUUAAAAUUUUGCCUCCGGCUUGAACGUCCUGAUAUAGAUGCCAUAAAGGGCAUCAUUUUCACGAAUGCACUCAUCUGCAUUCUCAAUCAACUGAUUGAUAGCAAGAGUAGUAUUGUAAAGCUCAAGCGCAGUAUCAGAUACUUUUUAUUAGAGGAAAACAGAAUGUUAGCAUCAUAUAUGCAGCCUGUGGGUACUCCUCCUGAUUCUCUAUGUCACCAAUCCAGCACCAACAGUGGCACUCUUGGAAAUUUGAAAACACAAGAUAUUGCAAAUUAUGCCUACUGUCCCAAGUCGUAAAUCCUCUGUCCCAACUGAAUUUUAUUGCAACACAUGAAAGUAGAUUUGACUUCACAUGUUAUAAGCUUAUAAUUGUAUCUGUGUCGAUUGAUAUAAAUUUGUUCAUCUCAGUCUAAUGUACAUAAUAGAGCACAAAAUCUGAGUUGUAUCUUCAGAAUCUGGUGGACUGCCGCUGUAAAUGUGAUAUUUUGUACGUGUUUAUGACUUCUGCAUAGCUAUUUUAAGUAAUUGAGUGACUGCCCAAACAAGGUUGUUUCAUUGCAAGAGAAUUGUGCUAGAGCUAAUCUUGACGCGGCAUGUUUUGCAGAAUGGAAGAUGGGAGCUUGCUAUCUGAACAGAGUACUUUUACCUCUCACUAUUAAGUUAUUCCUUUUUUCCUAUUCUGCUUUGAAAUAAUUGAGACAAUAUUUCAUCGUUUAUUUGGUGUUUUAUUGACUGAAUCUUGAUCUUCUCUUCUUAACUGCAAACAUGAUUUUAAAAUCAUAUUGAUACAGUAAAACAGUUCGAGCAUAUUGUGCUUUAAAUCUGUGGUGAGAACUAACAGAGAUUACAUACUAAUUAUCGUUGACCUUUUCAACAUACCCUUUUGUACAUUGUACUUACUUACCAUGUUAUAAGCCAUAUUUGGGUGAUAAUUGCUGAAACAUCGUUUCCUUGUAGAUACGAGAAUGGAUAUCGAAGAGUGAGACAACUUGCUGAUAAAAUGAUCAAGUACAAUACCUUGAAACCUCCUGGAUUUUCUUUGGAUUGCCACGUUGUUCCCUUUCACAUAGGGAUUGAUAAUGAAACGUUAGACGGUGUUCUUGCACUGGUUUUUUCAUAGUGUAUCUUGGAUGUGGAAUUGGGAGAAUCGCCGUAUUUGCUUUUAGUUCCUAGCCCGCAUCUCUUCCUGUCGUUCCUACGCGCUGUGUGUUAUAGGCUUAGUGGUCACAAAUAUUUGCAGUUUAACAGUCAGUUUCACAACUUUCGUGAAUGUAUCAAAUAAAUUUCAAUGUUGGCAUUAACUUUCUGUUAAGAUGAAUUACCUACUGUACAUUACAAUGGGGGCUGCUGAUAUCAGCUAAUUGUAUUAUUACUUUUGAACCAUGCUUACUGUUCAUUGCAGGUUUUGCAAAGAAAAGGAAAAUAGGGAAUCAAAUAAUGGCUUAGCAUAUAUUUUGUGGAAGGUGAUCCGGGCUACAUAUCUUCAUCUUAUGAACAUGAAAUGUGUGGUAUGAACUUGGCGAAACAGAUUUAUGAUAAGUUUAUUGUUGCUUUUCUCUGUUAGGCCAAUUUCUGGUAAGCUACAUUACUCUUUUAUGGUAGCAAUCUGAUAUAUGUUUUCUCUGUAUGGAAAUAAAAGAUCGGCACUGGAAGAUCUGAUCUAGAGAGAUCUUCAGAGAGAAUACAAAUGAGAAGGAGAUAGAAUUUGCAUGAUCAGGAGAGAACAUCCUAUAGUAUACCUAUUCUGAAAUUCAAGAUAGCAUAUUAUUGGUUCUUUGUCUCGAUGUAUAUUUUUCUGCCCUCUUUCAAUGAUAGUGUUUCCCCACUCAUUUUGUGUUUGGUUCUCUAUCUCAAGGAUUUUUGGUUCUCUGUUUUGAUGCAACCUUCUUGCUUUUGUGCCACGUCCUGAUGUUGAUAAGCUGGAUAAUGUCCUAUCAGAUGCAUCGAGAGCCUCCAACAUUGUUGCAUUGUUGUACCGUGCUCUCUAAAUUACAUGAAGCUGAAAGAUCAAAUUGGUAGAAGUCAUUUCCGUAUUGGUACUACAUAAGCAUGGGCAUGGGUCAUUGAUGCUUGGAAGAAAACACACUCGGGCGCAUUUGUAUAUUUUAUUUAGUUGUUUUGUCAUCCUAUGUCCUACAAAGGAGCUCUGCUCAGUAUAGUUAUAUAUUUUUUCGGUCAUGGUAGUAAUAUUUAA